rnacentral:lncRNA from 1 species
UUCAUAAAUAAUUCUUUUCACAGCCCCUGUGGGUACGAUAACUCGACAUUUACUUGUCACUUUAUUACUUGUUGUGAUUUGUACAUUGCACAUUUCCGUCUUCCAGUUGUCAAGCCGUAGUAUUAGUUCGUAUAUAAGCAUUAAACAUGUCUUUCAUCAUGUGAAAGAAAGAUUAGAAGACUAUUCUCUAGGCUCUUGAAACUCAGGUACAUUACGAGCAACCCCUUGAUUGGUGGUUGAAAAAUUACUUUGUGCGUCAAUGGGUACUGUUCGAUUGAAAUCAGUUGACAUUUUUAAUCUAUUAGAAAAUAAGUCAAACUGAUCAGGAGUCAUCACACUAUCACGGGCUAUAAAAUGGCAUGUAUUCCUAGACUCAAUACAUGCUACCUUCUGUCCUAAAAUCAACUAAACCGUAGCUCUAAUACCACUAAAUGUAAUACCCUAUACCCGAUACAAUUACUGUCCCGAGCUGUAAGAUAUUACAGCUAUAAAACUUUAACAUAUUUCAUAAAUUAUAUCAAACAUAAUCAAAAUAAUUCAUCACCAAUCAUUUCCAUUCAAAGUCUCAUUCCUUAUAACCGUUUCAUAUAUUCGUUUCAUUUUAUACAUUUAACACCCGAUGAACCAAAUGAAAUAACGUCAGAUACUCAAGAACAAUGCUCACAAAAAGUGUGACUAUAAUUGUAACUGUAAAUGCUUACACUAGCUAUGAAAUGGGUCAGUUCACACGAGCUGUGUGUCAGGAUCUUAGGCUAAAUGAUGCUACUCACACGAGUCGUGGAGAAUCCACAACAAAUGCAGGACCUCAGCCAACGGUAGGAUAUUCAAGACCAGCACCCAAAACUGUAAAUAAUCCCUAAUGACAUGACAUUUGCAUCCUAAGCAUUCACGAGGUUCAUAUGGACCAUUUUUCAUAUCUAUAUCAUUUAGUCAUAUACAUAUUAUUUCAUCACAAGAAUUCAUCCAUGUAGUUUCCCAUUUUCAAACAUAACCUUUAAUUUAAUUAUCAUUUCAACUUAGUUCAUUUAAUCUUUUACCAUUUAACCAGUAAAUGAACUCAAUCAUGACAUAUAUAGAUAGAUUAAUAUCACAAAAACAACUAAUUAAUUUUUACUAAGUUAUGAACUUACCUCGACUAACAUGGAUGCAAAAAUAAAGCCGACGACUAAUCCAAAACCUUAGUUUUACCAUGAUUCAAGUCUAGUUUAUUUGUUUCUUGAUCUAAAUAAUAAUUUAACUCAAUUAAAUAAUUCAAGUAGCUUAAAUUUAAAGAUUCUAACUUAUAACCCAUUUUAAUGUAAAAUUACGAAUUUACUCCUAACAUUUUAACUUUUGUUCAAUUCAGUCCCUAAAUUCCAAACUCACGAUUAAACCACAAUUAAUGAAAUAUCAUAAUGAUUUUCUUUAACGUCCUUUACAACCCAUAGCUUUCAUCAUUUCAUAAAAUUACCAUUGAAUUUUACCAUUUUCUCAAAUAAGUCCUUAAGCUCAAGUUCAUAAAAAAUCACUUAACAAAAUGUGUCUAUUUAACAACCAAGCUUAAUAAUCUAUCAAUCAAAUUCACUAACACUACAAACUCAUUCAUGGAAAGUCCCUAAACCUUUAAAAAUUUUACAAAUUAACCCCCGGGCUAGCUAGAUUAAGCUAAUACGAACUCGAAAACAUAAAAAUUACUUCAAACUGGACGAAAUAUUAUACCAUGCAUACCAAGAUAGCUUAGCCGAAACUUGAAGAUGAAAAAUGGUGGUAUUUUCCUUCUUAAUUUUUGAUGAUGGUGGAGAAGAAAGAUGAUAGCUUUCUUUGGUUUAUUUUUGUUUUAGUUUAAUUUAUUUAAUUACUAAUUUACCCUUAGAUUAUUAACUAAUAACUAACAAGAAUUUGUCCAUAAAUGUCCACUAGCCACUUUCAUGGUUUAUUUACCAUGUAAGUUCAUUAAUUUACUUUUUUAAAGUUAUUUAACCCUUUGAACUAAUAGAAACCCACUUUUGCAACCUUUACAGUUUAAUCCUUUUUACUAAAUUAACUAUCUAAACCUUAAAAUUUCUUAAUGCAAAUUUAAUACAACUCUAAUAUAGCUCUAUAGGCAUUAAAUAAACAUUAAAAUACCAACUUGCUCGUCGGAAUCGUGGUCCCAAAAUCACUAUUUCUGACGCCACUGAAAAUAGGUUGUUAUAACAUACCUUCAUUAAUACUCCAUACUUAUGUUCAUGGACAAUCUUAUUAAUUAGUUUUUAGUUGAUUACGCCCUAAGUACACUUAGAGACAAUGGUUGGAUACUCGGGACCAAUCAGCCAACACACCAUAAUAAUAGAAAUCGUGGCAUUAGUGUUUGAAAACCAGAUUAGAAUCACACCAAAGUGCCAUAAAUGGAAACACCAAAGUGCUAAUGACAAGAGUGCCAAAGUACUCAUAUCAGGAAUCCCUUAUUGGCAAGCUAAUAGUAUCCAAGCCAACUCACUAAGCUACUAGGGCUCAUUUAUCAAUCUAGAUUGCCAGAAAUUUUUUUUACAAUAAUUAUUCGUUUUAGUGUUGAUUUUCAUGACUUAUGUUUCUAUAACAAAAUUUAGUAAAAAUUCCAUGGCUUAUGCCAUCAUAACAUGAUUUAAUAGAAAUCUCACUCCAUGUAUUAUGCCAAUAUCAUUUCUGUCAUAAAUAUGGUUUUUAGCCAUUUUGUAACACCCCAAACCCAACCUAGACGUUAUAGCCAGAUUUAAAGGUGUUACCAUAAAUCAAUUGAAAACAUAAUAGAAAUCUCACUUCAUGUAUUAUGCCAAUAUCAUUUCUGUCAUAAAUAUGGUUUUUAGCCAUUUUGUAACACCCCAUACUCGGCCUAGAUGUUAUGGCCAAAUCUGAAGGUGUUACCGUAAAUCAAUUGAAAACCUAGAAUUCGUUUGUCUUGAAAAGAAACCAUUAGUUUAUAUUUUUGUAGAAAUUCGAUUUAUUAGAAAAUGCAUCUUUCCUCCUCGAUUGGAGAAAACUUUUGUUCAGAUUUACAUAUUUUAAAAUGGUUGAAUUUGCAGCAGAAAACUUUUAGUUGAGUGCAAUUCUGAAAACAAGGUUGUUUAGAAAAGUCCAAAAUUUUGAUAAUCAUAUUCAAAUUAGCCGAAAAGCUUAAAUAAUUAAAACAGAAAAUACACAGCAAAAAUAAAGUCCAAACAUGAAACAGUCCAAGAUAGUCCAAAAAUGCCGAAAUAAUAAAAUUAAGAAAUAUAUAAUGAUUAAUUUAUUUAUUUUAACCAAGUUCCGUCACACCGACCCAUCCUAAGUAUGAGGGUUACCUAAUUGACAAACAACAGAAAGUGAGUUUUUGAAACUUAUUGUGUAGCAUAUCAUAUAGAAAUCAAUUAGACAUAUAGAUAUAUAUAUAUAUAUUAGAAGCAGAGCUUAUCAAAACAUAACAGAUGCAAAUAUAUAUAAUCCUAUCCCCAUCCACUACACACCAUCUCUGCCAUCCCAACACUCCAUAUAGGGUAUUAUAAACCCAUCCAACCCUACACACUGUUUAGUGCUGGUAUGACACUUUUCAGAAUAUUUGCAGCUGAGCUACCAAUUUAUUAAGUGAUUUAUCGCUGUUUACAAAAAAAUAUAUGGUUGUGCCACCAAUUACGAUAGAGAUAGCCUACACUUCUAUCAUAUACACAAGUCCCAUCCCAAAUGCAAAUGCAGAACUAACAGAUGUCAAAUAUUUUUAUGAUAUACAUGCUUAUCAUGACCAAUACAGAACAUACAUAACACUUUUCAGAUUAUACAUACUAUAGAUUUAUCACCUCAUAUAUGCGUUCAUAUGUCAUAUUUUAUGCUGACAGAUGGUCAAAUUUCAUGUUUUAUAACUUCAUUGAUCACAUACAAACCCUAUGGAAGGCCUACAUUCGAUUCAAAUGAUAUUUACGGCCUUAGGCACGCGUAUGGCCUACACGACCUCACACAUGCCCUUGUAUGGCCCACACGGCCCAAUUGGCCUAAACUAUGUGUCACACACAGCCCAGCACACAGCCUGUCACAUGGUUUUGUUGUUCGCUAAUUUUCAGGUUUUUCGUUACACUCAUUUAUUGUUUCUGAAGUGAAUCCACUCGCAAGACUUCCAAAACCUAAAAUGAUUAACCCACCUGAUUAGCAAUGAUUUCCCAAUUUUCCAACUAACACUUCCAUUCAAAAACGUUAGUAUAAACAUUAUUAAUCUAAAAUUUAGACUCUUAGGUGUUCUAACACUCACCCAAAAAUCCACAGCAGAACCAAGUACCACUGACUCACAAUAGGAAAAUUUUGAACUUCUUGAUUAACACCUAACAACAAAAAUUUACGAGAUUAAACCACGCUCCAAUGAUAAUUAAGCUAUUAAUCACAACCCUUAUACAAAACUAUAGAGAACACUUACCUAUGAAUUCCCGUAGAAUCAUAAUCGCACAAAAGAAUAAGGUUGAACCCCAUACCAAUUCACAAGGAAGAGAUUAAAACAAAAUAACAAAGAAAUCAAGAACAAAAUAGCACAGGAGGCGUAAAUGAAAGAAGGGAAAAUAAAGAAAGUACAAGAAAGGAAGGAACAAAAAGAAUAGAACGUGGAAGCACAAUUGGGAAAUGUGGGGAAUUUGGG